rnacentral:rRNA from 1 species
AGUGAACGCUGGCGGUAGGCCUAACACAUGCAAGUCGAACGGCAGCACAGUAAGAGCUUGCUCUUACGGGUGGCGAGUGGCGGACGGGUGAGGAAUACAUCGGAAUCUACUUUUUCGUGGGGGAUAACGUAGGGAAACUUACGCUAAUACCGCAUACGACCUACGGGUGAAAGCAGGGGAUCUUCGGACCUUGCGCGAUUGAAUGAGCCGAUGUCGGAUUAGCUAGUUGGCGGGGUAAAGGCCCACCAAGGCGACGAUCCGAAGCUGGUCUGAGAGGAUGAUCAGCCGCACUGGAACUGAGACACGGUCCAGACUCCUACGGGAGGCAGCAGUGGGGAAUAUUGGACAAUGGGCGCAAGCCUGAUCCAGCCAUACCGCGUGGGUGAAGAAGGCCUUCGGGUUGUAAAGCCCUUUUGUUGGGAAAGAAAAGCAGCAGGUUAAUACCCCGCUGUUCUGACGGUACCCAAAGAAUAAGCACCGGCUAACUUCGUG